ensembl:lncRNA
CUUCCUUUUUUACAAGCCUUACAAGCCAAUGAGGCGAUCACUAUCAAAACGGGGCGUGUAUACUUUCAUUGACAGCUACACCAGCAGACAGGAAGGGUCGGGGACGGGCCUUAGAUAUCCUAAUAGCCAAUGAAAAUACCUUUCUGACGAUAUCCAGCAUGUCAAACAACGUCUCACGUGUGGUUGAGAAAACAAAUGCGCAAGGGGUGUGCGUAAACUAGCAGGCUCUUCCCCAGAGUCGGAUAGCUAAAAAUUUGAUUUUUGUGUGGUUAUACCUGUCUCAUUACAUAUCAGAACAUCUGGUAUGCUAUCUAAAUGGUCCACAAGACAGCACAGAGGGUAACCUUUCAUUUGAGACCAAGAUUAUGCUUCUACAUGUUUAGGUUCACUUUUGUUUACAGUAUGCAUUCUGGGUAGCCAAAGGUCUUUUUUGGAGUAUGCGUGUGUCUUCGUUUCCCCGAAAACACGUUACCCGCGCUGAGAGGGGCGGCUGAGAGUCAAACCGGUUCAGCUCACUUCCUCAUUUCCUCACUUCACUCCUUUCUUUCUCCGCUUUUUAAACCUUUCACCUGAUUAACUUUUAUAAGGUUAAAGGUUAAAGUGUUUUAUAAACACUUUAACCUCAGUUUCUUCCCUUACAUUUAUACUUUUAUUACUUUAUACCGUAUGGACGCAUUUUAAUCCCGGAAUAGAUACGAUAAGGUCUCCAGUCUACUAUGGAUGAGGAGAGAGAAGAGGGGGGUCCUACCUCUAAGACCACUCUGUCUGGGGAACAUGGCCGCCGGAGCAAAGCUAAGAGCCCAGAGAAGCAGGAGAGAGCAGACCCCCCUGGACCCAGCUGUGUCUCCAUGAAGAGUAGCUGGUCUAUGGAUCCACCUAUUAGUUUUAAAGAUGGAAAUCAGUCUAUCAAGAAGAGUAGAGUCCAGCAGGAGAGAGCAGACUCCCCUGGAUCCAGCUGUGUCUCCAUGAAGAGUGACCGCUCUAUGGAUGUACCAGCGGUGUUUAAAGAUGGACGCCCCUCCAGAGAGGAGAGCCCAGAGCAGCAGCAGAGAGCAGACUCCCCUGGACCCAGCUGUGUCUCCAUGAAGAGUGACCACUCUAUGGAUAUACCAUUGGUGUUUAAAGAUGGACGUCCCUCCAGAGAGGAGAGACACCAGAUGACGUCAAAGGUUACCAGUGCUCAGUCUCUACAGCAACAUCAAACAGAGCUGAUCAAGAGGGCUGAGGAGAACGCACACGCUUUCCUAGACAAGGAGCUGAAGAAGCUCUGGAGGGGAUCUCUUCUCAGAUUACCCACAAUUCUCAGAGGGUCAGAGGGAGGAGGAGGAGGAGGUGGAUGAUAAGAAGGAGGAGCAGAGGAGGCGCGCCAUAGAGGGAGUGGUGGACAUCACAAUCCUCUGCCUGAUGGAAAUGAACCAGGAGGAACUGGCCGACAAACUGCGGGGG